UACGUAGGGGGCAAGCGUUGUCCGGAGUUAUUGGGCGUAAAGAGCGCGUAGGCGGUCCGAUAAGUCGGCUGUGAAAGUCAGGGGCUCAACCCUUGAAAGCCGGCCGAUACUGUCGGACUAGAGUCCGGAAGAGGCAAGUGGAAUUCCCGGUGUAGCGGUGAAAUGCGCAGAUAUCGGGAGGAACACCAAUGGCGAAGGCAGCUUGCUGGGACGGUACUGACGCUGAGGCGCGGAAGCGUGGGGAGCAAACAGG
rnacentral:rRNA from 1 species